AUAAUGUUGCGAUUUUUGCAUGCCACAUACGUUUUAAAAGAAGUGGGUUAUUAAUUGUACGAUGGCGUUUUAUUUAUCAACAAAUUGCUAUGUAUGGUUCUUUUCAUUCUGGAAACACUUUCUCGGUCAGUAUCACAAAAAAUUGUGUUGAAUCCCCGGGUAUAGUGUCAUUCGCCCUGACACUAACAGCUGUCAACAAAAUGUAUUUAUUAAAUACACUAUACUUGUUAAUUGUGUGUAUCGAAAUGGCUAAUGGAAAAAAGUGAGCCCCCUCCCCAGACAAAUUUUCUGGAUUCAACACCGGUAAGAAAAUUGCAAAUUAUUCACGCCAUACUUUGAAAUGUGUGAAUGUGUUCGCCCGGUAGUACUUAAAUCUGUACAAAAAUGUUUAAAAAACAAACUGAAUUUUUCAAAAAUUAAAAAAAAAAAAAUGAAAACAUGCUACAAAUGUGACGAUAAAUAGGUUUUAUUUUAAUACAUUUAAUUUAACGAUUAAUAUAAAAUAAACCGCUGAUAUUUGAUUUUACGAUUAUUGCUACGAAACCAAUGUGAACGAAUACCUUUGCUAUUAGUAAAAAAAAAAAAAAACAAAACGGUUCU